GGGGAAUAUUGCACAAUGGGGGAAACCCUGAUGCAGCAACGCCGCGUGAGCGAAGAAGGCCUUUGGGUCGUAAAGCUCUGUCCUCAGGGAAGAAAAAGAUGACGGUACCUGAGGAGGAAGCCCCGGCUAACUACGUGCCAGCAGCCGCGGUAAUACGUAGGGGGCAAGCGUUAUCCGGAAUUAUUGGGCGUAAAGAGUAUGUAGGUGGUUUCUUAAGCGCGGGGUCUAAGGCAAUGGCUUAACCAAUGUUCGCCCCGUGAACUGAGAGACUUGAGUGCUGGAGAGGAAAGCGGAAUUCCUAGUGUAGCGGUGAAAUGCGUAGAUAUUAGGAGGAACACCAGUGGCGAAGGCGGCUUUCUGGACAGUAACUGACACUGAGAUACGAAAGCGUGGGGAGCAAAC
rnacentral:rRNA from 1 species